GACGAACGCUGGCGGCGUGCCUAAUACAUGCAAGUAGAACGCACAGUUUAUACCGUAGCUUGCUACACCAUAAACUGUGAGUUGCGAACGGGUGAGUAACGCGUAGGUAACCUGCCUGGUAGCGGGGGAUAACUAUUGGAAACGAUAGCUAAUACCGCAUAAUAUUAAUUAUUGCAUGAUAAUUGAUUGAAAGAUGCAAUUGCAUCACUACCAGAUGGACCUGCGUUGUAUUAGCUAGUAGGCGAGGUAACGGCUCACCUAGGCGACGAUACAUAGCCGACCUGAGAGGGUGAUCGGCCACACUGGGACUGAGACACGGCCCAGACUCCUACGGGAGGCAGCAGUAGGGAAUCUUCGGCAAUGGACGAAAGUCUGACCGAGCAACGCCGCGUGAGUGAAGAAGGUUUUCGGAUCGUAAAGCUCUGUUGUAAGAGAAGAACGGGUGUGAGAGUGGAAAGUUCACACUGUGACGGUAUCUUACCAGAAAGGGACGGCUAACUACGUG
rnacentral:rRNA from 1 species